CCUACGGGUGGCAGCAGUGGGGAAUAUUGCACAAUGGGGGGAACUCUGAUGCAGCAACGCCGCGUGGGUGAAGAAGUACUUCGGUUUGUAAAGCUCUGUCAGCAGGGAAGAAAAUGACGGUACCUGACCAAGAAGCCCCGGCUAACUACGUGCCAGCAGCCGCGGUAAUACGUAGGGGGCAAGCGUUAUCCGGAUUUACUGGGUGUAAAGGGAGCGUAGACGGGAAGGCAAGUCUGAUGUGAAAGCUCGUGGCCGAACCACGGGCCUGCUUUGGAAACUGUGUUGCUGGAGAGCAGGAGGGGUAAGCGGAAUUCCUAGUGUAGCGGUGAAAUGCGUAGAUAUUAGGAGGAACACCGGUGGCGAAGGCGGCUUACUGGACUGUAACUGACGUUGAGGCUCGAAGGCGUGGGGAGCAAACAGGAUUAGAUACCCGUGUAGUC
rnacentral:rRNA from 1 species